AUAAAUUAAAGGCUACACUUCACUUACUUAUUUUAUUAGAAAAAGGUUUGUUUUAAUUGAACACUAAUAAGUCUGUUACAGCAUGUGUGAGCAUACAAGGUCUUAAACAUAUACGUUACACAUUACCUUACCCAGGUUUUUCUUUUAGGUGCCCCAGUCUUUAAAGGGGUGUGGUUCUUCUUGAAUACAUACACAACGUUCAGCUCAAAGUUCUUCCUGGCUGAUAAGGACUUUUUCAACAUGUAAAAAUUAUGUACAAGUGAGUUCAUUGAACCUAAUACGUUGUAACAAACACAAUACCUGUUACCAUCAACAUCAAUUUGUGUGUCAGUUGUAUAGAAAUGCUCAAAAUAAAAUCGUGAUAAAAAGAAUUAUCAAACCAAGUUUUGAAAUGAUAAUUUGAUAUAUCCAAAGACCUAUCAAUAUACAAAGAUUGGUAACAUCCAUCAGACCAAUAGAAAUUAUCGGAAAUUCGAGCGGCGGAAUCGAGAUCUAGAUCACGUGACAUCAAUCGAGCAGACGACGCCAUUUAGAAGCCGAGUCGUGUAAACAAUUGCCAUCAUCGUUAUCGUUUUCACACCUGUCUUUAUUGACUUUAAGGAUGCUGUGGAAGAAACGCAGUAAGGGCUUUUGUACACAGAAGUACCUAUGGAAAAUACCUGCUCUAUCGAAGAAAAAAACCCUGCUCUAUCGGGAUUGUCAAAUGAUUCAUGUUCUGGCAACAGUCCAACAUGUAGUAAUGUUUAUGUCCAAACCUGUGAUGAGGGGAAUACUGUGUUCGUUUAGAUGAUGAUUCAGGGUUGCUGAAUACAGGAUUCAUUGAUAAUGGUCCAGACAUAAUGAACCUGGAAGAUGAGACGGACAUUUUGAAUUGUGGAUUUUUGGAAGACUUUGAACAGAAUGCAAAUGGGAGAACGACACUAAAUCAUCAGGAAUGUGACAUUGAGGAGGUGGAGGUUGAUUGUGUUGACUUUUUAAAACUACAGACUGAAGUUCAGGAAAAUAUCAGUCAGGAUUUCAUGGUUCGUAAAGACAGAAGCAAAUUGACAUUGAUGCAGAUGUACUCGCACGGUGAUGCUGCCUCCGUAAAACUGUCCAUAGAGGUGCACUCUGACUUCAAAUGCAAUUUGUUCGUGCAUAGAAAACCAGUAACUCGUAGUCAUGUCAUUUGGACAGAUCUGCCAUUGUUAAUUGACAGGGUUUCUGUGAUAAUGGAACUUUGUAGGAGACUUGCUGUGAACUCUUUCUGUAGUCUGCAGCUGCAAGAAGUAAUUAAUAUGAAUAAACUAUAUGUAUUAGACUUGACCGUAUUUAUUUUGUUUUUAUCUGUACAGAUCUUGCAAAGUAUCCACGUUGGUCACCUGUUUAACACAAAAAUGUUACAGAAAUGUUGUUCUUUCAUUAUAUGAAUCUCGUUCUGAGAAAAUUGGACAUAAUGUUUUUGCGUAAAUUGUCAUUCCAGAUUAGCCUGUGCAGUUCAUACAGGCUAACCAGGGACGACACUUUUCGCUUAUAUGACAUUUUUCGUUUAAAUAAAGUCUCUUCUUAGUAAAAAACCAAUUAAGGCGUAAAGGGUCGUCCUUGAUUAGCCUUGGUGGACUGCAAAGGCUAAUCUGGGAUGAAACUACGCACAAGCAUUAUGUCCAGUUUUCUCGAAACGCCACUCGUGAAAUGAAACAUUUCUUCAAUAAAAAGGUAUUUCGUUAAUUUAUUAUUAACUGUUGUGUAAUGUUGUAUGUUGUUAAAUAUGCUAUUAAACUAUCAAAUAAUUUA